rnacentral:rRNA from 1 species
GUCCUCUUGAUAAUAUUUUGAGGUCUGGCCUGCUCACUGACAAGGUUUUAAAGAGCCGCGGUAUUUUGACCGUGCAAAGGUAGCAUAAUCAUUAGUCUCUUAAUUAGAGGCUGGAAUGAAUGGCUUGACGAGAAAUCAACUGUCUCUUAAUAAUUUUUAAAAUUUAACUUUUGAGUUAAAAGGCUUAAAUUUUUCUUUAGGACGAGAAGACCCUAUAGAGCUUAACAUUUUAUUUUUAUAUAGUUUUUAGUUUAUCUUUCUAUAUUUAAUGAUAAUGUUUUGUUGGGGUGACAUGAAGGAUAAUUAAACUCUUCAUUAUUAAAUCAUUGAUUUAUGUUUAUUAUGAUCCAUAAUUUAUGAUCACAAGAUUAAGUUACCUUAGGGAUAACAGCGUAAUUGUUUUUGAGAGCUCAUAUCGACAAAGCAGAUUGCGACCUCGAUGUUGGAUUAAGAAAAAUUUUGGGUGUAGGAGCCCAAUAAUUAGGUCUGUUCGACCUUUAAAUUCUUACA